AUUACAUCUGCAGAUUCUCGAAUCAAGGUUGUUGAUGGUGUUGAUCUGAUUCACAAGUUCAAAGGAAAUCUAGAUGGUGGAUUGUGAUUGAUGGAUGGCUUGGAAUAUUGGCACCUAUGCUGGCAUAGCUUAAUGGUGUGGACGAUCAACCGUCCUCUGUUUUGGGGAUCAGUAUAUACUGGGGUGGAUUUUUGUAAAAGGCUAUGCGGUGUCUCAGUUAUUAGAAGACUCUAAAAAUCAAAGGCUCUCUCCCUCCUCUCCUUUGCCUAGAAGCACCUCAUUGCAUGGUCUCCUCAGCACUACACAUCUACAAAGAAACUUGGAUCACCACUUGCAAUAUUAAAAAUAAAAAUAAAAAUCUUCGAUACAGUCUACCAAAUCAGGUACCAUGUUAGACCAUAUUUUUUGACCCACAUGAAUCUUAGCUGACACGAUGAAACUAGACAAUGGGAAUUAUCAGGUGCUAAACCCUGAAUGAUGGUGUGUGAGAUCUGGAGCAUUCAUUUGUUGGGACCUAAUGUGGAUGGCCUGUUUGGUGGACACCUAAAAUAGAGUUCAACUCGCUUUAUUUAACAAUAGUUAUGUAUUAGAGAUCUUGAUCUCUAGUGCAUAAUGAAUUAAUGUUACCGUUAAAUAAAAUGGAUGAACUCGUUUUUAGGCGUCUACCAAACAGGGCAUAAGAAUUUCUAAUUGAGAAUAACUGCAUUCAUGUUAGAUAAUUCUCACCAAGAGAAGUUUUUUUCUGUGCCAUUUUUCAAGUUUUAGGUUCAGUGACA